rnacentral:rRNA from 1 species
GACGAACGCUGGCGGCGUGCUUAACACAUGCCAGUCGAACGGAAAGGCCCUGCUUUUGUGGGGUGCUCGAGUGGCGAACGGGUGAGUAACACGUGAGUAACCUGCCCUUGACUUUGGGAUAACUUCAGGAAACUGGGGCUAAUACCGGAUAGGAGCCCCUGCUGCAUGGUGGGGGUUGGAAAGUUUCGGCGGUUGGGGAUGGACUCGCGGCUUAUCAGCUUGUUGGUGGGGUAGUGGCUUACCAGGGCUUUGACGGGUAGCCGGCCUGAGAGGGUGACCGGCCACAUUGGGACUGAGAUACGGCCCAGACUCCUACGGGAGGCAGCAGUGGGGAAUAUUGCACAAUGGGCGGAAGCCUGAUGCAGCAACGCCGCGUGCGGGAUGACGGCCUUCGGGUUGUAAACCGCUUUCGCCUGUGACGAAGCGUGAGUGACGGUAAUGGGUAAAGAAGCACCGGCUAACUACGUG